rnacentral:lncRNA from 10 species
GGCACGUCUUAUAUAGUGGCAGGAGGGAGAAAGAGCUAGAGGAGGGAACCACCACAGUUUCAAACCAUCAGAUCUUGUGCGAACUCACUCAUGACUACGAGAACAGCAUGGGGGAAACUGCCCCCACGAUCCAGUUACCUCCCACCAUGUCCCUCCCUGGACCCGCUGAGAUUAUAAUUCAUAAUGAGAUUUCAGUGGGGACACAGAGCCAAACCAUAUCAGUUGCCAAGGCUGAUC